AUUGAACGCUGGCGGCAGGCUUAACACAUGCAAGUCGAGCGGAGAUGAGGUGCUUGCACCUUAUCUUAGCGGCGGACGGGUGAGUAAUGCUUAGGAAUCUGCCUAUUAGUGGGGGACAACAUUCCGAAAGGAAUGCUAAUACCGCAUACGUCCUACGGGAGAAAGCAGGGGAUCUUCGGACCUUGCGCUAAAUGAUGAGCCUAAGUCGGAUUAGCUAGUUGGUGGGGUAAAGGCCUACCAAGGCGACGAUCUGUAGCGGGUCUGAGAGGAUGAUCCGCCACACUGGGACUGAGACACGGCCCAGACUCCUACGGGAGGCAGCAGUGGGGAAUAUUGGACAAUGGGCGGAAGCCUGAUCUAGCCAUGCCGCGUGUGUGAAGAAGGCCUUUUGGUUGUAAAGCACUUUAAGCGAGGAGGAGGCUACUAGUACUAAUACUACUGGAUAGUGGACGUUACUCGCAGAAUAAGCACCGGCUAACUCUGUGCCAGCCGCCGCGGUAACAC
rnacentral:rRNA from 1 species